GGCAAGAUGGCCGAGUUGGUUAUGGCGUGAGGUUAAGGUCACCUUAGCAUCGAUUCCUCAUGGAGCAAUCUGCGUGGGUUCAAGUCCCACUCUUGUCA